CCUACGGGUGGCAGCAGUAGGGAAUCUUGCUCAAUGGGGGAAACCCUGAAGCAGCAACGCCGCGUGCAGGAUGAAGGUUUUCGGGUUGUAAACUCCUUUUGUUAGAGAAGAUAAUGACGGUAUCUAACGAAUAAGCACCGGCUAACUCCGUGCCAGCAGCCGCGGUCAUACGGAGGGUGCGAGCAUUACUCGGAAUCACUGGGCGUAAAGAGCUGGUAGGCGGGAUAGCAAGUGAGAUUUGAAAUUCUAGGGCUUAACCAUAGGACUGUAUGCGAAACUGUUAUUCUAGAGUAUGGUAGAGGUAAGUGGAAUUUUUGGUGUAGGGGUAAAAUCCGUAGAGAUUAAGAGGAACACUCAUUGCGAAGGC
rnacentral:rRNA from 1 species